UUGACUGUGCAAAGGUAGCAUAAUCAUUAGUUUUUUAAUUAAAAGCUUGAAUGAAUGGUUUGACGAAAUAAAAUCUGUCUCUAGAUAAUAAUAAGAAUUUAAUUUUUAAGUUAAAAAGCUUAAAUUGAAAUAAAAGACGAGAAGACCCUAUAGAUUUUUAUAAUAAAUUUAAUAAUUUUAUUUAAGAUUUUUUUUAUAAUUAUUAUUUUUAUUAUUAUAUUGGGGUAAUAGGAAGAUUAAUAAAAUUCUUUUUAAAUUAUUACAAUAAUAAUUGUUUAUUUGAUCCUUAAUUUGAGAUAAUAAGAUUAAGUUACCUUAGGGAUAACAGCGUAAUUUUUUUAAAGAGUUCAUAUCGAUAAAAAAGUUUGCGACCUCGAUGUUGGAUUAAAAAUUAUUCUAGGUGAAGAAGUUUGGGAAAUUUGGUCUGUUCGACCAUUAAAUUUUU
rnacentral:rRNA from 1 species